GAUGAACGCUGGCUGCGUGCCUAAUACAUGCAAGUCGAGCGAACGGACGAGAAGCUUGCUUCUCUGAUGUUAGCGGCGGACGGGUGAGUAACACGUGGAUAACCUACCUAUAAGACUGGGAUAACUUCGGGAAACCGGAGCUAAUACCGGAUAAUAUUUUUAACCGCAUGGUUCAAAAGUGAAAGACGGUCUUGCUGUCACUUAUAGAUGGAUCCGCGCUGCAUUAGCUAGUUGGUAAGGUAACGGCUUACCAAGGCAACGAUGCAUAGCCGACCUGAGAGGGUGAUCGGCCACACUGGAACUGAGACACGGUCCAGACUCCUACGGGAGGCAGCAGUAGGGAAUCUUACGCAAUGGGAGAAAGCCUGACGGAGCAACGCCGCGUGAGUGAUGAAGGUCUUCGGAUAGUAAAACUCUGUUAUUAGGGAAGAACAUAUGUGUAAGUAACUGUGCACAUCUUGACGGUACCUAAUCAGAAAGCCACGGCUAACUACGUG
rnacentral:rRNA from 1 species